rnacentral:lncRNA from 1 species
AACAACAAUAAUGUCAUAACAUGUACUUAUUUAGUUAUUGUUGUAAUUUCGCUUUGUUAACGAUGCAUCUCUCGCUAUUCUUGUUUGUAGAUACUUCAAGGGAACAGGAAUGCUUACAAUUAUGCCGCUUUGGGCUAUGUUAGUGUUGACGCAAGAGCUUUACGAUUCGUUCCAUUGACAUACGUAGUUCAACCAUGUAUGAGAGUUGAGAUUUGGG